GCGCCUAACACAUGCAAGUCGAACGAGAAAGCGGGAGCAAUCUCGCAAGUAAAGUGGCGUACGGGUGAGUAACACGUGGAUUAUCUGCCCUGGAGUGGGGAAUAACGCUGGGAAACCGGCGCUAAUACCGCAUAUUCCCGAGAGGGGAAAGCAGGAAUGCGCUCGAGGAGGAGUCCGCGGCCGAUUAGCUAGUUGGCAGGGUAAAAGCCUACCAAGGCUGUGAUCGGUAGCCGGCCUGAGAGGGCACACGGCCACACUGGCACUGAAACACGGGCCAG
rnacentral:rRNA from 1 species